rnacentral:rRNA from 1 species
CGGCGUGCGCCAGUUACUCCUCUCCCCGCCGCGGCCGGCCCCUCCUCUCCCCGCCACGGCAUCGAUGCUCCUCCUCUCCACACCACUACAGGAGCCCGUCCACCUCAUCCUCCUCUUCCCUCCAUGGCGUCGGCUAGCAUCUCCUAUCCCUGUCGUCUAUCGUGUCCCCUUUCUCCACAAGUCCCUCGACAACGUCACCUGCAUCCUCCUCUCCUGCCACGGUGUUGCCGGCCCCUUUAUCUGCCCGACAAUCUCUCGCACCACCGCAUUGACACCAAGCCAGUGCAUCCGCUAGUCUGACAUGGAAUCAGUCGGAUCCGACUGGUCGAUGCAGCAGGGUUCACCGCUCUCUGUCCGGAUGUGGGUAGGAGGGACGACACCCAAGAAAAUGGAAACUCGGAUUUCUCUUCGUGAUUCGUAAGCAGAAGCAAAAGCUUGCAAUUUUGAAUUUUCUAGCCAUCCAGGUACAUCGCUCCAUGACUCUUUCUUAGCAUUUAUAUAUUAUUUAAUUAGUAGUGUUCUUAAUUUCUUGUAUUGUAGAUUUUAUUUGGAUAAUAUCAUCUAACAACGUGAAAAAAGAGAACAUGCAAAUGAGUUUAUUGAGUCCCAGGAAAGUACAUGUACUAAUUCCCCGCAAAUAAAGAAAGUACCUCUGCUAGGGAUUUCGAGGAAUUAGCUUUAGUUAGUUAUUGCUGAAUAACAACCUAGCGAAAAAUUAUAGGAUGAUAAAAUUUUGAGUUGGCACCGAAGGGAAAAACAUAGGUAUUGAUUGGCAAGACCAGCCAAAUUUUAUGUGAAUGAUUAUGGCCCCGGUUUUUCUGAAUAGUCGACAUGAUAAGGCAACAUAAAUUCUAGUGUAAUAAGUAUUCAUUUGCAUUUGAAAUAGAAAAAAUAUAUGUGGGUUUAGGGCCCUUUUUUGUUAUCUUGUCCCGGGCCCUCGAAAUCUUAGGACCGGGUCUGGAUGUUCGGCGAGCCGUCGGCGAGAGUGGGUGUGGCAUGUGGCAUUGUUUGGAUGGGCUUUGUAUUGGGUUUCGUUUGAUUUUUCGUAGUUAACUAGGCAACAACCUUGUUAUGAGAUGGGCAAAGUUUUUGCCUCGUGUUUUGGAAAAGAAAAAAAGUUUGGUGCUGUGAUUUUAAGCAAAGUGAUGUGCUAUAAUAAUUUAGUUAAUUGAAUCCCUCAAGGAAAAAUAGUCAAACUGCUGAAUAGAAUAGUGUAAAUCUGGUAGCACGUGGGCCCACUGAACUCCUGGAUGCAAAAGGAAAAGAGCACGUGCCGACAAAGAGGUGGAAGAGAGCCGGAACAGACAUGUCAAAGCAAUGAUCGAUCUCGUUUUCAUUAGUAGUAGUACGUGGUUUGCACAAAUCAUGCGCACAAAAAUUAAGCCAGCUAGCUAUGGCAAACGAAAAGGGAAAAAGAUGGCAAGAAAACCAAGCGGAGAAGGUUCCCGUGAAAGAAAAGUAAAGAAAACAGAGUACAGGAGUACACAGGACAGCCGGCGCCGCUUCUCCUCUCCCUCGCACGCACGCAUUCUUCACGUGCGCUGCGCGGCAAAAGGAAAGAAGAGACCGAACCGCCCCGUUGCCGUCGUGCGCGCACAACGUUUCAUAAACAAGCGGGGCAGAGAGAGAUUGAGAGGUGUGUGUGUGUGUGUAUUGACGGGCCGGCCUUCCUUCUUCCAAGAACUUGAGGAGGAAAGAUCGAUAGACCUGGUACUACUUGAAUAUACACAUUAAUGGCGGCGGCGAGUAGCAGCGCGCGGGACACCGCGGAGGGGUGGCGAGAUGGGGGAAGCGUCGACGACGGGGGAGCGGAGGUCGAACUGAGCCUGCGGCUUCGGACCGGGAGCAGCAGCGGCGGCGCGGCAAGGAGGAGCAUGACCAUAUUCUACGAUGGCCGGUCCCUGCAACCCGGUCGCGCUCCACGCCGCCUUCGACGACGCGGACGCCGUGCACCUCGUCGUCGACCUCUGCGCCGGCGGGGACCUCCUCUCGCUCCUCUCCGCCCGUGGCGGCCGCCUCCCCGAGCGCGAGGCGGCGGGGCUGGCCGCGCAGCGUCCGCGCUCGCCGCGUGCCACCGCCGCGGGAUCGCGCACCGCAACGUCAAGCCCGACAACUUCGACGCCGCCACCGGCGCGCUCAAGCUCGCCGACUUCGUUUCCGCGGAGUGGUUCGGGGACGGGCGGCCGAUGACCGGGCUCGUCGGCACGCCGUACUACGUGGCGCCCGAGGUGGUGGCCGGGAGGGAGUACGGCGAGAAGGUGGACGUGUGGAGCGCAAGGGUGAUGCUCCGCAAAGGAGCUCAGCGGCGACAGCGAGACGGCCGUCCUCCGCCGCUUGGGCACCGGUGGCCAGUCGCGGUACAGGGGAGACCCGUCGGUCUCCUCGUCGUCCUGGCGGUCCUCCCGCUCGAGCUUGGGCGCGAGGCGGUGCGGGACCGAGGGGGCCUGGCGGAGGAGCUUGGCGAGGCGGCGGAGGGAGCCGGAGAGCGGCGGCGGCGGCGAGGGCCUGGGGCGCACGUGGAUGAGCUGGACGGAAAAUCCGGUACGGCAAGGGAAAUCAUAACCAUGGCGAGCCAACAAAUUCUAACCGAGCAGCAGGACAGCAGCGGCGGCGGCACUGCAGUGGCACAGUGCGGAGCGCAUCAGAAUCCAAGCCAGCCGGCGCCGCAACGUUGGGCUCCAUUGUUGGCUUCACGCCCGCUUCGUCAGGGAGCAGGGGCUGCUGCGCCGGUCACCAGCCAAGCGGCCGCCGCGGGGCUGUCGAUGAAGCGGUCGUUGCAGCAGUUUCUGCAGAAGCGGAAGACAAGGGUCGCCGCCAUGGGUUCGCCGUACGCCGGCGGCCGGCGAGCGAUGCCCUUCUAGUCCUAGUCCGGUGGUUAAAGACACAUACGUACAGUGCUUGCUAGCAUAUGGUUAUUUUUGUUCUUGAGACUUGUAUUUUCAAGCAUGAGAU